rnacentral:rRNA from 1 species
AUACGUAGGGUGCGAGCGUUGUCCGGAAUUACUGGGCGUAAAGAGCUCGUAGGUGGUUUGUCGCGUCGUCUGUGAAAUUCCGGGGCUUAACUCCGGGCGUGCAGGCGAUACGGGCAUAACUUGAGUACUGUAGGGGAGACUGGAAUUCCUGGUGUAGCGGUGAAAUGCGCAGAUAUCAGGAGGAACACCGGUGGCGAAGGCGGGUCUCUGGGCAGUAACUGACGCUGAGGGGCGAAAGCAUGGGUAGCGAACAGGAUUAGAUACCCUGGUAGUCCAUGCCGUAAACGGUGGGCGCUAGGUGUAGGGGUCUUCCACGACUUCUGUGCCGUAGCUAACGCAUUAAGCGCCCCGCCUGGGGAGUACGGCCGCAAGGCUAAAACUCAAAUGAAUUGACGGGG